GAUGAAGAACGUAGCGAAAUGCGAUAAGUAAUGUGAAUUGCAGAAUUCAGUGAAUCAUCGAAUCUUUGAACGCACCUUGCGCUCCUUGGUAUUCCGAGGAGCAUGCCUGUUUGAGUGUCAUUAAUAUAUCAACCUUCUCUUUUUUGAGUUGUUUGGAUGUGGGGGUUUGCUGGCCUCUUAAAUGAUUCAGCUCCCCUGAAAUGCAUUAGCAGAACAACCUGUUCAUUAGCGUGAUAAUUAUCUAUGCUAUUGAAUGUGAGGGCAGUUCAGCUUUCUAACCGUCCUUGGACAAUUCAUCAUUAAUGUGACCUCAAAUCAGGUAGGACUACCCGCUGAACUUAAGCAUAUCAAUAAGCGGAGGG
rnacentral:misc_RNA from 1 species